CAUCAGGCCCUGCCUGGCAGCUCAAGGGGCGGGCGGCCAAGGACCCCAAGUGCUCGCCCACUUCCUUUUCCCGGGCUUCCGGCCUCCCCUCGGAUGCCAGCGAUUUCCUUUAAUUUUUGAAAUGGCACACCCUUGGGAGGAUUGUCUUUUUUCCCUCCCCCCUACCACUAGUUAUAAGAUCUCUAACAAGCUUAUUGUAUGAAAAAGAGGGAAAUAAUUCGGUAUUGCAUCUCUCAAGGUCGGCAUUAGGGGUGUCGUGGAGGAUACAGCUCAUAUAGGAGACCAAAGAUUUUACCACUCCUGGGGGUGUCUUUAAGAAAGAGAAUCCGAGGGGAGCACGGUGGCGGACUCCUGAAAUCCCAGCAAUUCUGGAGGCUGAGGUCCCUGCAGAGCAAAGGGUGGCAGAUAAGAGCAGAGACCGGAGCCUGCACAUCAUGGAGCAAAUGAUCGAUAACCCAUCCUGGGAAGAUAAAAGGUCAGCAAGAGCUCUCCGGUCACAAAAACAUUGAAGCAGCCUUAUGGAGAGAUCCAUGUGGUUAGAAGUGGUCUUCUCAUGGAAAGCCAUCAAGUGACCUUCUGCUAACAGCCACAGGAGUGAACUAUCUUGGAAGCAGUACUCCAGCUCCAGUCAAGCCUUUGGAUGAAUGCAACCUUGGUUGAUGUCUUCAUUAAUUGUUGGGAAAACAUCAUUUGAAAUAAGAUCU